rnacentral:tRNA from 1 species
CAGAAAAUAGUUUAAAUAAAACUCUGGCUUUGGGUGCCAAAGAUCACUUUUAGUGUUAUCUGA